CUUUGCUAGGUUACAAAUGACCUAAGAGUGGGUCUUGUUUAACUUUGGAGUUACUCAGCCAACAGUAGAAUGGUGAGUAUACAACUAGUUGCACUCAGAAAUAAUACUAAAUCAUCUCAGGGUUUGCAAAUAUGUAUGCGGUCAUAUUAAAAAUAAUUCUUUAUUCUACUUGCAGAACAGCUUCUAUUAGGUAAACAGGGUUUAAAAAUUAAAUCACCUGAACUUCUUGCCAAAAAUUCUCCAUAGGUUACUCCACGUCAACUCUAAAGACUUAUGUUUUAAAUUGUUGCUAUGUAAUGAUCCUAGCCUUGCUGACAAUCUUCUUACCAGGUACAAACGGGAAACAGAAACAGAAGCUGAAAUAUGACCUAUGUGCAUAAUCACUCAAUUAAAUAGAAUAAAACUAUUGGCUUCAAUAUUGAGUAACAAUGUAUUGACUUGUUGGCUUAAUUUGUGUAAAGAUUGAAUUUGUAUAAAUAGCCAAAGCCAUGCACUUGUUUGUAGACGUUGCUAAGGGCAAAUGGGGAGCUGGUCUAAAUAUGAACAUCUUCAAGACUUUUGUUUUCACACAUGAAAACAGAAAUUCAGAUUUUAAUUAACCCAGUGAAUUUGCCUGAAAAUAUGCUUCCUGGAACACAGCUAAGUCGUGCUUAUGAUAAAGAUGUGGCUGGAAAGGGAGAUGUCUGCCGUUUUCUGAAUAAAACAAAAGAUUUUGUCAUCGAUGCAAGUUCUGGUGUCAUCACUGCUACCAAAAUUUUUAAUUAUGAAACAGAUCCAAUAAGGUUUCUUCUGAUAGUUGAUACUAGGCUGUCUAGACAUGUUUUGACCAUUAAUAUUAUUGAUGUUCCUGAAUCUCCAAACUGUACUGCUGAUCCCAGAUUUUCUUCAGGCACAGCUACCUUAGAAAUUGAUGAGAACUAUCCAUUAUUUCAGUUCAUUUAUAGAGUGACGGCCACAGAUGAGGACUUCGCAAAUGGUGAUUGGCUGAAUGUAGGUGGUGAUCAUUGUGCCAGAUGCAUUUAUCACUUCAGCGUAAAGUGCAAUCCUUUUAAAAAAGUUUUCAAGGACAGUUAA
rnacentral:lncRNA from 10 species